rnacentral:lncRNA from 10 species
AGGAGAGAGACAUAGAGGGAAGAUGGCCAUGUGACAACAGAGGCAGAGACUGGAGUCCUGCGUCUUCAAGAUUCUGAAGGAAACAGACAGCACAACAACAACAGCCUCUCUCAGUCCUCACCCAAAUCUUUCUUCUGAAAUUGGAUGCUGAUGGCCACCAAACACGUUUUUAAAAGACCAGUGCAGUUUGAAGAACAGAUGUAGGCGAAUAACAUGAACAUUGCUUCAUCUUUGUUCCACAAGUUUCUGAGACAGCACCGGUAGGUAUGGGUCUCCCUCCCACUGGGCUGUGGCCGCAAAGCGAGCAUCUUUCUCCUGGGCGCCCCAUGCCUCCUCCAGCACCUGGCAUGUAGUAUAAGCUCAAUGAGUGUUCAUUGUAUGAACGAGUGAGUCAAUGGCUGAGCAUUCGUGAGGCUGGAAAAUUUAAUCUUCCCGAUUUAGUCUGAUAAAUGGAUUCCAUUUUAUGCUCGGAGAGCAAGGGCCUCAAAAGGUGUAACCAAGAGCAGAGGUCAGCAAACUGCAGCCUUUGAACGAAAUCCGGCCCAGAAGUGAAAACAUUUUUAGAUGAACAUUGGCAAUGGAUUUGCUGAUACAGAACACUAACUUUAAAUUCCAACCAAGCAGAAUGUUAGCACCUCCAAAAAUGAUUCCAUUCUUCUCAUUAUUAAACCUAUACUACAAAAAAACUGCCUUCGAUUAUUAUUAUUACAUUUUGAGUUUCAUCAAUUACAUAAUUGUGGAAAUUUUUAUUUUACUAUAUAAGUAGCUACAUAAUAUGCCAAAUUUGCUUCUUGGCCUGUAAAACCUAAGAUAUUUGCCAUCUGGCCCUUUACAGAAAAAGUUUGCUGACCCCUGGCCACAAGAAUAAAGUUUAGAACGGGAUGUGAUAUGUUUCAUCUUGCCUUACACCCCAGGAGUGGGAGAAAACCAAAUUGGCAGCAGGGUGGGCAGAGAUGACAUCCAUAUAUAAAUGGACUGUGGAACACCUUGUUAUGAAGGAAGGCCUGUCAGCAGUCAAAGAAUGGCUUGGGUGGGUAUACCUAGAUGGACCUCUAAAGAUCACACCCUAAGGGAAUUCAAGACCUGGUGCAUGGUUUGAGAGGUGAUUCCUGUGACAUCAGAGAGUGCAGCCUGGGCCUUCAUGGGCAAACCAAAAACAUUUGUGAUUGUAAACCCAAAGGCCUCGGCUGGCCGCAUCCAAGUCUCUUGGUUUCCCUCCAAACAUUUGCUUGGAAAUAAAGUAAAGAAAGUAAGUAAGAAUGGAUCGAGUGCAGUGGCUCACACCUGUAAUUCCAGCACUUUGUAGAGGCCGAGGCAGGAGGAUCACUUGUGCUCAGGGGUUUGAGACCAACCCG